rnacentral:misc_RNA from 1 species
UUAUCAUUAUCAGAUUGAAUUCUGUAUAAUAAAACAUUAAGUGAUAGAAGUUUUAGAUUUUCAUUUUUGUACAUAUGAUGGAGGAGGUAGAUAGUAUAAUUAUUCACUCGUUACGUCAAAUAGGCUGUGGUAUAAAAGAAGAAGUAACAAAUUUAAGUGGCUUUGAUACAGAAACAGUAGUAGAAGCAACUGUAAAAUGUUUAGAUGCAAUAAGACCAGGUCUUGGAUUGCAUACAACAUUGCCUCCGAACAUGGCAGCACGUUUUCGUUUAGGUGCAACAUUGGCACAAGCAUGUACGGAGCUUGGAUACAAAGGUGAUAUCGGUUAUCAAACAUUUCUCUACAGUUCGGAAAAUGAUUUAAGGAGGGUUUUAAUGUUUUUGAUUGAAAAAUUACCCAAGGAAAGUGAUAAAACUUUAAGCGAACCAACCAGUGAAAUUGCUUUGUUGGAAAAAUCUAUAGCGUCUGUUAUAUCCCAUAGUUUUUCCAUACCAUGGUUACCACACUUUUGUCAUAAAAAGGGAUUCAGAAACAGAGGAAGGGCAAAUGUACCUUAUAAAUCUGUAAAUAUAGAAGUAUCAACAUCCGAUACUGAAGAAGAGUAUCAAGAUUACUAUUUACAUUAUAUGCAACCAGUGCCUAAUCAAAUGCUAACUCAACAAUGUUUUUUACCUUCUAUUCUUUCACACAAUGCAAAAACAAUGCAUUCACAAUCGGUGAAUAUCAAAGAACAUAUCGAUUGGUUGAAUGCUCAACAAGAAAAAAUCAUACAAGUAUCUAAUCACAAUCAAUCAUUUAACAGAGUUACUUUGAAAGAAUCAACAGUAUCAAAGAAUUCUCAAUUGAAUGAGCCAGAUGUUCCAAACACUAAUGAUAAGAUUACAACAACAACAACUGAUGUGCCACAACAAGAACUCGUUUCUAAGAAAGAAGAGAUGCAAGACUUGCAAGUUGAAAAGAUAAAAGAGGAAUGUGAAAACUUUAAACACAAUAUAGAUAGUUUACAAGAGGAAAUAAAGAAAUUAACAGUACAAGUAACACAAGCAUCGUUGACUUAUCAAAACGAGGAAAAGGAAUUAAAAAUAAACAAGGAACAAAGAAAGAUUAAAGCUAAAGCUUAUGAAUUAUAUGAAAAUGGAGAAAAAAAUAUAGAAAAGUUAGAAACUGUUAUUGAAGGUAUUACAGAUAAAUUAUUAAAUUUAGCAAAUCAAUGGGAAAAACAUAGAAUGCCGUUAAUACAAAAAUAUCGAGAAGAAAGAGAAAAACAUUCGACAAAAGCUAGUGUAAGUCAAAAGAAACAGGAUGAAAUAAAACUACUGAAAGAAAAGGAAAAAGAACUUGAAGAAGAAUGCAGAAACAAAGAUCAAUUGUAUUCGCAAUUAGUGGUAGAAGUACAGAAACUUCCUAAAGAAAUAAACAGAUCUGCGUAUACCCAACGAAUUUUAGAAAUAAUAAACAAUGUUAGAAAACAAAGAGACGAGAUUAAUAAAGUAUUGGCGGAUACACGUGAAAUUCAAAAAGAAAUUAACACGCUUACAGGUCGUUUAGAAAGAUCAUUUACGGUAGUGGAUGAAUUAAUAUUUAGAGAUGCAAGGACAAAUGAAGCCUCGAGAAAAGCAUACAAAUUAUUGGCAACAUUACAUUCUGAUUGUAGUGAAUUGGUUAGUUUGGUAGAAGAAACAGGUGCUACAAUACGUGAAAUAAGAGAUUUGGAAGAACAGAUCGACACGGAAUCUGCUAAGAAUGUUGGUGCAAAUCUAGAAAGAAUAACUGCUGAUUUAAAACAAAUGAAACAAGAAACUGCUGCGUUAACUGCACAACUUCAAAAUCGAAAUUCAUGAUCAAAUUAUAAAUGCGAUAAUAUAUUAUAGCACACUCUCAUAAUCAUUAUAAAAAUACUAUAACAAAAAUAUUCGAGUGAAUAUUAUAUUAUUCAUUAAAUACAAGACUAAAUAUGGACAAAUACUUUUAUAGUUAUGUAAAAGCCUUGUAUACAAUUUUAAUAACUUUAGUGUUAUUUAAUGGAUGUAUUUAAUUGUAAAAGGAUGCUGUAAAAAAAUGUGCCUCAGUCUGGAGCACUUGAUAAAUUAAAAACUAUACAGCUUUCAAGUCUCAAAUAUACAAUGGAAUAAAAACAAAACACGUAUGCACAAGUGCUCUAAAAAUAUCCUUGUUACGGAGCCUAAUCUUUUUUUAGUAUAAUAAAAUAUUCAAUAAUAUAUAAGCAAGCUUUCGUAUUCCUUGAAAAAGAAUGUGUACGGUUUGAAACAAAAC